GAUACACCAGAAGAGGGCAUCGGAUCUCAUUACAGAUGGUUGUGAACCACCAUGAGGUUGCUGGGAUUUGAACUCAGGACCUAUGGAAGAGCAGUCAGUGCUCUUAACCACUGAUCCAGAAACUCACUCUCAGGAUGGCAGUGUCAGGGUGAGCCAGACCCUGCUAGCCCCUUGCAUUUUACUGUGGGCUGUUACAAGAACCCUCACCACCCGCCCGUAGAUGUUGGAGUCCUAUUCCUGGAUGCCACAGCCCCCAGAAAGACUUCCUUGUGCAGAUGGAGCAGACCUCUCUUGGGGCUGGAGAGCUGGCUCGGCAAUUAAGAGCACUUCUCAGUGUUGGAUGAGAUCGACAUUGGUUCUCAGCAGCUAACCAGGCAGCCCACAACCAUUCAUCACUCCAGUUCCAGGCGUCUGGCGUGCUCUUCUAACUUCCGUGAGCACUGCAUGCACAUGAUACACAGACACACAUGCAGGCAAAGACUCAUAUACAUAAAACGAUAUAAAUGUGUCUUCAAGAGAAGAAAGGAAAAAAGAAUGGAGCUUCUGAUAUUGGGUGCUGGCUGGUACGUUCAUCUGGUAAUGGAAGGGAUUUGGCAAGCCUACGACUCAGGAGGAGACAAUGGUAGGCGAAGAAUAAAUGGUAUGUUCUAGCCUUCUCUAUGUCCUUCUCUAUACCCUACAGUCUCUAGUUUUCACCAGUGUUGUGACCAAGUGUCUGACCAACAAGUUAGAAGAAGUAUUUGUUUGGGCUCCCAGCUUUUGAGUUCAGCUGUAGCCUAUUAGCUCUCUAGUUUGGGGCCUGCUGGGAGGCGGAAUAUCAUAAAAGCAGGGCCAUGAUAGAAGAUGCUCUCCAGCCCAGAGCAGACAGCAAGU